GGCGAUCUGCUGGAACUCAACUGACGCUAAGGCGCGAAAGCGUGGGGAGCAAACAGGAUUAGAUACCCUGGUAGUCCACGCCCUAAACGAUGUACACUAGUUGUUGGGGUGCUAGUCAUCUCAGUAAUGCAGCUAACGCAUUAAGUGUACCGCCUGGGGAGUACGGUCGCAAGAUUAAAACUCAAAGGAAUAGACGGGGACCCGCACAAGCGGUGGAGCAUGUGGUUUAAUUCGAAGAUACGCGAAGAACCUUACCUGGGCUUGAUAUCCUAAGAACCUUUUAGAGAUAAGAGGGUGCUAGCUUGCUAGAACUUAGAGACAGGUGCUGCACGGCUGUCGUCAGCUCGUGUCGUGAGAUGUUGGGUUAAGUCCCGCAACGAGCGCAACCCACGUAUUUAGUUGCUAACGGUUCGGCCGAGCACUCUAAAUAGACUGCCUUCGUAAGGAGGAGGAAGGUGUGGACGACGUCAAGUCAUCAUGGCCCUUAUGCCCAGGGCGACACACGUGCUACAAUGGCAUAUACAAUGAGACGCAAUACCGCGAGGUGGAGCAAAUCUAUAAAAUAUGUCCCAGUUCGGAUUGUUCUCUGCAACUCGAGAGCAUGAAGCCGGAAUCGCUAGUAAUCGUAGAUCAGCCAUGCUACGGUGAAUACGUUCCCGGGUCUUGUACUCACCGCCCGUCACACCAUGGGAGUUGAUUUCACUCGAAGCCGGAAUACUAAACUAGUUACCGUCCACAGUGGAAUCAGCGACUGGGGUGAAGUCGUAACAAGGUAACCGUAGGAGAACCUGCGGUUGGAUCACCUCCUUU
rnacentral:rRNA from 1 species